GGUUAAGCGACUAAGCGUACACGGUGGAUGCCCUGGCAGUCAGAGGCGAUGAAGGGCGUGCUAAUCUGCGAUAAGCGCCGGUAAGGUGAUAUGAACCGUUAUAACCGGCGAUACCCGAAUGGGGAAACCCAGUGUGAUUCGUCACACUAUCAUUAACUGAAUCCAUAGGUUAAUGAGGCGAACCGGGGGAACUGAA
rnacentral:rRNA from 1 species